rnacentral:misc_RNA from 1 species
UACGUAGGGGGCAAGCGUUGUCCGGAAUUAUUGGGCGUAAAGCGCGCGCAGGCGGUCUCGUAAGUCUGAUGUGAAAGCCCCCGGCUCAACCGGGGAGGGCCAUUGGAAACUGGGAGGCUUGAGUAUAGGAGAGAAGAGUGGAAUUCCACGUGUAGCGGUGAAAUGCGUAGAGAUGUGGAGGAACACCAGUGGCGAAGGCGACUCUUUGGCCUAUAACUGACGCUGAGGUGCGAAAGCCAGGGUCACGAACCGG